GUCUACAGCCAUGCUACCCUGAACAAGCCUGAUCCCAUCUGAGCUAAGCAGGGUCGGGCCUGGUUAGUACUUAGAUGGGAGACUACCUAGGAAGACCAGGUAGGCAUAAAAA
rnacentral:rRNA from 1 species